GUCCUUUAGAGUAAUAAUUUAAGGUCUAAUCUGCCCACUGAUUAAUUAAAUGGCCGCAGUAAUUUGACUGUGCAAAGGUAGCAUAAUCAUUAGUUUUUUAAUUAAAAGCUUGUAUGAAUGAUUGGACGAGAUAAAAUCUGUCUCUUAAUUAAGAUUAGAAUUUAAUUUUUAAGUUAAAAAGCUUAAAUUUUUAUGAAAGACGAGAAGACCCUAUAGAUCUUUAUUUAUGUAAAUUAUAAUUUUUAUAAAGAUUAUUUUAUUAUUUAUGAUUUUGUAAAUUUUAUUGGGGUAAUAAAAAGAUUAAAAUAAUUCUUUUUUAGUUUUUACAAUUAUUAUUGAUUAUAUGAUCCAUUAUUAGUGAUUAAAAGAUUAAGUUACCUUAGGGAUAACAGCGUAAUUUUUUUAAAGAGUUCAUAUCGAUAAAAAAGAUUGCGACCUCGAUGUUGGAUUAAAAGUAAUUUUAGGUGCAGAAGUCUAAAGUUUUGGUCUGUUCGACCAUUAAAUUUUU
rnacentral:rRNA from 1 species